rnacentral:rRNA from 1 species
UGGGGAAUAUUGCACAAUGGGGGAAACCCUGAUGCAGCGACGCCGCGUGAGCGAAGAAGGUUUUCGAAUCGUAAAGCUCUGUCCUAUGGGAAGAUAAUGACGGUACCAUAGGAGGAAGCGCCGGCUAACUACGUGCCAGCAGCCGCGGUAAUACGUAGGGGGCAAGCGUUGUCCGGAAUCACGGGGCGUAAAGGGUUGGCAGGGGGAAAUGGAAGUCAGUUGUGAAAGGCAGAGGCUCAACCUCUGUAAGCAAUUGAAACUGUAUUUCUUGAGAUGUGGAGAGGCAAGUGGAAUUCCUAGUGUAGCGGUGAAAUGCGUAGAUAUUGGGAAGAAUACCGGUGGCGAAGGCGACUUGCUGGACAGAAACUGACGCUGAGGAACGAAAGCGUGGGUAGCAAACAGG